AUGCUAUAUUAGUCUGAUACUGAUAUGUGACUAUUUGUCCAAUGAUUUGGUGGGUUAAUGCUGCAGGUUUUUACACUGCCAUAGACUUGUUCACCAGACUUGUUUCUUCAAGCGGAAACCGAGGAUAUCGCAGAAAUAACAUCAUUGACAGGCGACAAUGACAAAGGAUGAGCCAUUUAAAACUGGAAAUUCUCUGGAUUUACAAAUCCUUUGAACUUUUGGGAUAAUGGCUUUCCAUAACCACCCCUCCAGGGUUGAUGUGGGUCAUGCAGCCGGAGGACGCCAAAUCACAAGCAGGUGCUUGGACUCUGCAAAUACUGUGCUGUCACAAAAACUUCAUCUAGAAUGCCAAGGCAAAAUUAAAAGCCUCUCAUUGUUUCUUUUAGCAUGUGUUUGUGAACGUGGUUGUCAAGAAUUUCCUUAUUACCGUCCUUUCACACACACCAGAGUUUUUUUUUCUGAGAUAGAAACUGCUGGUAUAUUCAC